GUUGGUCGUACCAGAAGUCAUUAAGUUAACCGCAAGGAGACAGGUGCCCAAGGUAUGAUCGAUGAUUGGGGUGAAGUCGUAACAAGGUAGCCGUAGGUGAACCUGCAGAAGGAUCA
rnacentral:rRNA from 1 species